rnacentral:lncRNA from 1 species
AGAGAAACAGCAGCUCUGGCCCUGACCUGGCCUCCAUCACCUGCUCAGGUGUGGAGCUUCUGGGCAAUUUGAGCCCCUGAGAGGCUCCUCUAUCUGGCCACGUCGCAGCGGGAUGUGCAGUGGGAUUCCGUCCUGCAAGGCAAUAAGGUCACCGCUAAGAAGGGCAAUGAUGACAAAAGCUGUACCCUGUCCUUGAUGAAGCUGGAGAAGGGUGAUGAGGGCCUGUAUUACUGUGCUGCCUGGUGGACUUCAUACAACAAAAUCUUCGGUGCUGGAACAAAACUUUUCGUCAUAGACAGAAAUCUUGCUACAGACAUGACCCCCAAGCCCACUGUUUUCCUUCCUUCAAUUGCUGAGAUAGAGCACUCUAAGGUUGGAACAUACCUUUGUCUUCUGGAGAAGUUUUUCCCUAAUGCUAUUCAGGUUUAUUGGAAAGAAAAGAAUGACAACAGAGUUCUGGAAUCCAUGCAAGGAAACACCGUGAAGACUGAUGACACAUACAUGAAAUUCAGCUGGCUGACUGUGAGUGAAGAGUCCAUGGGUAAAGAACACAUAUGUUUCGUCAAACAUGAGAAAAACAGAGUAGAACCUGUUCAGGAGAUUCUUUUUCCUUCAAUUAAUGAAGUUGUCUCCUCAGCUGUCAUGCCUACUGAUUCUCCAAAUGAUUGCUUGAAGGAUGAAAGUAUCUCUGAUAGUGAUUCUAGAAAGGCCUGUGUAAGAAAUGAAAGUGGUAAGUUUUUGCAUAUAUUUGCCUUCAUGUCAUCUCCUAGCAUUGCUCUUCUUCAUGAUCAAAUUACCUUUAAAACUUUCCCAUUUGGUGGUAGGAAAAAAGCAAUUAUUUCUGGAACGGUAGAGCUCACACAUUUAAUGAGUGUAUCUCCUAUCUCUGUGGGCAGAUUUGACAUAUAUGUGUGUUGUGUACAUAUAUACAUACACACACACACACACACAUAUAUAUCACACUGUCGAAUAAAUUGGUAUGAACA